CUAUCAGAUUAGUAUCUGAUACUGUCUUUUGUUUCAUGAUUGACCAAUUUGUCACAUUGUUUAAUUUUGUAUAUUUAUCGCUUUUUUGCUAAUCAUGUUUAUUUUUAUCAGAAUUCAUCCUUAGUUUAGCACUCUUAGUUUCUGUUUAUCACUCAAUAAUUGCCGAUGUUACCCUGUGAAAUAAAUUCCUUAACCAUGUUCACCUAAAAGAUUCUGUUGUCUGGUAAAAUCAAAUUGAGAAGAAUCAAUAUUAAAUUGUAUUGUGUCAUCGGAAUGUUGUAACAAUUAUCUAUGACCUGUUUCUAUUGAGGACAUUUUGUUUGAUUUAUGGUCGUUUUAUUUUUCAAUUUACUAUCUCAAGGAGCUGAUUGUACAGACAUUGGAAUGUGUUGUCUAACUCAUUUAUAACUUAAUUAACCAGCUAUCAUUUGACUGUGAAAUAAUUUGUAUAAACAUUCACAUUUUCCAGCAAGGCACGAUCAAAGACACGCGAUCAACAUCAUCAACAAAAUAAUCAUCAACAAAAUAAUCAACAUCAAAAUUAUCAUCAUCAUCAAGAUCAGGAUAGUUUUCAUCAUCAUCAAGCACAAGAGCAGCAACAACAUAAUCAUAAUCUACAUAUGUGUACACGAACACAACUGCACUGUGUUUUGUUGGUUUCAAACAAGAAAAAAAAAUUUCUUCAUGAAAAAUGAGUUAUGACGGCAAAGCGAAGAUGAUAAAAUAAGAUUUGGUGGAUUACAGAGUAUUUUGUUUUACAUUAGGAUGAACAUGAAAAUGAUUAAUGAUUAUGAUCGUCUGAUUAUUGUUGAUAAUUAGUAGGAAAAUUAUAAAAGAGAAAAAGAUGCUUUCCAAUUGGAACAUUUUAAUUGAUCAUAACCUUUUCUUCCCCAAGAACUCAUUAAUAGUUACACAAUUAUAUUAUGAAAGUUAACCAAUAGUUAAUUUUUGUUCUUUAUCUUCUACCCCUGUUUAUGCAGAUGAACAUGUUCCAACGUCCUGACUCAGGAAACUGAAAAUCAAUUUGACUGUGGCUCAUCAGAUGGUUGGAUAGCAUCAGUUAAUCAUCAGUUAGCCAAAUCUAUUGCAUGGCAGGUUUACAUAGUAUUUAAAUGGCGUGUUUACUCUCAUGAUUUUGGAAAUGGCAAUGAAACCUGAUGAUUCCUCGUAAAGAUACAAGAAAUAAGCUGUUGCUUACUGUUCAUCAGUUUGACACAUAUUGGGCUCAGAAAAAAAUGUUAUAAGUUGUACUUUUAUUUUUAUAUUUCCAGUCAAUUGGAUAGUUUGAUCGAUUGAUGCAAUUGUGAAAUGAUCUACAGUAUCUGUUUAAUCAUAUCGAUAAAACUUCAACGUUGAUCAGCUGGCAAACAAAACUAAUGUAUAUUUUUUUCCUGAAAAGCUUAGUCUUUACUAUGCUCAGACUAAUUAUUUAUUUUGAGAUCUACCGAUGAAUCUAGGUCAAAGAUGGAAAAUACAAGGCCACAAAAGUAACCAUCAAUUGAUGUAGAAACAUAAAUUUUAUGAGCCAGAGAGAAAAGAGGUUUCAUUUCAAAAGAGUUUCCCGUUUUCCAGUGAAAGUUAAUUUACUUUUUUACGAGUUUCUGCUUUGAUAAUUUAAUUCGUUAGUUUCAUAAACUCAAUUCCUGUUGUUAACCUUUUCAUUAUGCAGCAUAUGCUUUUAAAUGUUUACCACAAAAAAACAAAAACUAUCCAAAGCAUGAAACAAUUUUUAAUUCCAGUCCGAUUCAAGAAUGGUUUAAAUUAUGAUUAAGACGAGUUUAUCUUUAAAUUUUACGACGAUAGCGACUGAUAAGCUAAAAAUUAUAUAGUAAAUGUGUUUGAAAGUAAAGCUAAAAUUAUAAAGAAAAAAAAUAUGCAAAACGGUAAAACUUUAAAUUGUAUUACAUUUUGCAUUUCAACUUACAACGAAACGUACGAUUAUCAUCAUCUCUGAGACUUUUCCAAAUAUCUUGCUGUUUAUUUGAUUUGUUUCAUCUUGAUUAUUUAUUAUUAAUAGGUUAAUUCCUAUCACAGGCUAUAAGUAAGCAUAGAUAAUUUCUUUUCUCUUCUGUUAUACGAUAGUAUAAUAAUGAUAAUAAUAACAUGGAUACAUAUUAAUGUAUUGAUCUGUGAGAAAAUGUAAUAGCAAUAAAAAAUGCGGUGCAAAAAAAACGAAACAUUAACAGAGCAAAAACAAGCUAACAUGAAAAAAGUGGAAGAUCUUUAAACCUUAUUGCUUAUACUAUUAAGUAACAAUAAUUAAAAGUGCAAGAGGUAAUAUCAAGGUAAAUAAGAUUGUAAAUGUUUAAGAAACAAGAUGAAGAUUGAUUAUGGUCCUUCAUUUAUUAUCACCAUAGCUUUGAUUUCGGGUCCUUUUAAAGAUAAAUCUUGUACUGUAUUUGUUUCCUGAA